GUUUUCCAAGAAGUGGGAUUCUCAUACUUUUUAUUAUACUUUCCACUCUCUAUUGCCCAAGCCUAAAGAAAACGUAAAAACCCACAAGUCUUUAUGUUUAGGUGUUUCCAAGGGAUGCGGAAUAACGUCCUCUCCAAAUUCAGCCACAAAACGCCUUCAAAUAUGUUACUGUUAAUCUGCCUGAGAAGCCAUGGGCCAAAGAGCUCUUUAUGCUGCAUCCUGAGGUAAAAGAAGGUAAAAGUAUUUAUAUGAAUAAACUAUACAGCACUUGCAAUGGGACACCUUUUCAUUGUAUGACAGAUAAGUGAAACAGCUAGACUUUAACAGAUAUUUUGUUACUAUUUAUGACACUUAUUUUUGUUAUAUUGUACUUUGGAAUUGUAUACUAAUUGAACACUAGAUGGUGCUGUGUUGCACAGGCUAUAAGGAGAUCACACACACUUGAUUGUUAGCUUGAUAAAGAGCCAAUUAGGCUUGAAACACUACUGUUGCCCACACUGUGAAAAUAAAGGCAUUUUAAUGAAAUGGAGUGCUGCCUACAACCAUUUGGAUUCAAGUAUCCAGGAGCGAAGGGACCCUGGUGGAUAUGAACCCAUUGUUCAAUUUUGCAGCCAAGUGAAUGCUACCUAUUUGGUUUGGGUCUGUCCACACAGGCUCCCCAACACUCCCUAAGGGAAAUGGCAGCAGAGGACAUUUGUCUCCCAGGGGAGCAGUUUGCAUGCAGCAAUGUGGCAUAAACAACAAAGUCAAUUCCUUGUGGUCGUCAAUUUUCCUCAUUUGCCAUUGUCCUAAGCUGCAGCAAUGGGGCAGCUCAUUUUCAGGGGGCUUUUCUGUGGACUGGUAUUUAGUUUUAUCAUCUACUCCUCUGCUUGGCAGAGCAGGAAGUGCUGAAGUGAAGCUACAUAUUCUUGAUAUUUCUGAAUUAAAACUAUAGGCAAAAAGUAUGUUCAGAACAAGCCGUAUUCAUUGAGCUCAUGUUAAAACGAGGCGUAUACUGUCCCUUUAAAGGUGAUCUACACCUUUAAAGUACUUAUUUAACAUUUAAAUCAUGCAAAGAGAUUGCCUGCAUGCUUCUUAUGGGGGUAUAUACAGAAUAUAAUGUGUGUCUCUUGAAGAGAAAUAGAGACACAUUGUAAACACUCAAUGUCUAAAAUGGAAUGAUUCUUAGCUAGGGAAGGCAUUCAGUGUAUCUUCAGAUUAUAUCAUUGUUAAAGGCACAUUGUUGUCAUCACGGGCUACGGGUUUCAAAUAAUUUAUCCAUUGCAUCUACACCCAGAUAAAUUCAUAAAAAAGGAAGAAGGACCAGCCUGCUAAAUUCAGAAAUAGGUAUUUCAUGACUAAUGGGAUAUUUUCUCUCAUCUAGAAAGAAGAAAGAGGUAUGCAAGACUGUCCAGUGCUGUCCUUCUGUGAUUUAUGGUGGCUGCCUCCAUAGGAUUGACAUGUUUAGUCUGCGUAGGAAUGAAAGAACUCAGCUGAGAGUGCCACAGGAGUUCAUCCCAUGGAUUGCAGGAGGAGGGCAAGGAGGACAAUUGAGGUCAUGAUGCCCACAGGACAAAAAGCAGCGUCUUCUCAAGGGCAGCAGUGGGAUACAUGAAAUCAUCGCUGUGUAACUCACCCAUGGGUACCCAGUAAGCACCACCGCCUCAAAUAUCAUGCUUAUUGGUUUCCGGCUGACCUCCCAGCUACUAUUCUGGUCCCCACUGGGGGCAGCUCUACAGAAUAUGAACCACACUGGGAAGGUGUUUUGUCAAGGAAAAAAGUAUGUUCAGCCCAAUUCCUAUUUAUUGAGUUCAUCCUGAAAAGAAGAUUUACAAGCUCUUUAAGAUGAAGACAGUGGGCUAAUGAAUGACAUGGAGAGUCUACAUAUGAUCUUGAUUUCCUGAUGCUGGAAGAAUGGAACGGGCACUACCCAAAACUGACCGCACUGCUCUGAAGACCUAGACUGAGAUAGAAUUUCGUUUUGGGGCAUGUGCAUAUGGUUGUUGUCGUGAGCGCUCUUGUCCCCUCUUUGAUGCUUGUCCACUGGGUAAAAAAAGGCAUAUGCACAACUGAGGGAAAGUUUGCACAUGCACAACUGAGGGAAAGUUUGCACAUGCACAGAUAAACAACAAGGGCACGCAGGGUGACGUGAUCCAGGAAAAAAUGGCAGACGCAAUCUCCUAAUGGAGCUAAUACAUAAAAGGAAUGAUUAUUCACUUUCAAGAUGGGUUUUUUUGCAAAAAAAAAGGUAGCAAUCUGGUUGAGGGGAAUAUGACUAAUGAAAGAAGCCACUUUUUAAAAAUAGCCUUUCCUUUCCCUUUAAUCCACAUUCUUGCAAUACACUGCCAAACUCGCACAUUCAUUAUCAUGAGCAUAACAUUACUGCCUUAAAUUAUUUUUCAUUAUGUAUUUAGUGCCAGAAAUGCCACUCUUCAGUAUAGUCACAAUGGGAAUAAUACAGUGGCCUUUCCCCACCAACUUUCCUAUAUAAAACUCUCAGGCAUUUGCGCUCUGUUCUUGUUGGGUCCAGUUUGCAGUUCCAGUCGGGCAUGUUCUGUCCACUUCCCAACCAGUUCUUAAUCACUUACUGAACCCCUUAGUUUGAUUCUACCUGUGUAGCAUAAAUGGGACCCCUGUUUGAUCACACCACACCCAGUUAUAGCCAACAUGUCAUGAUUGCCCCUCCUCACUCCUCUUCCCUAGUUCCUCUUACAUCCACCCUCCUUCCACAAACCAUUUUCCUUUUACCUCCAUUUUGCUCUUGGUUUCACCUUAUUCCCUUUCCUUUCCACUUUUUCAGAAUGCUCCCACUCCAUAACCAAAGACUGCCAGGAUGGGAGAUUAAUGUAAAAUUUCCUGAUAUGGGUAAUAUAUAAAGGAAAAGUAAACCUUGAAAUAAACUGUAAAAUUGCUUGGGGUGCUUUUCUAAGCAUUUUUGCAAUUUAUAUUACAUUAACUCAUUUGGCAAAAACCAGAGGGGCUGCUGUAAGAUUUCAUAGACAGUGGGGGGCAAGCUGUUUGGGCCUCCGUGUACUUGAAAUGCUAGUGUCUAUAUUAAAUCCCAGUCUAGACCCGAUGGGUCCUUAAAUAAAAAGCAUUAUAUCUUUGGCUGUGUUUCCAGGUUCCAUGGUGGUCAUCUGCAGCCAGGAUCAUCUGCAUUGUGCCAGGUCCAUUUGUUAACUUCCACUGAUCAGUGCUGUGGAACCUAGAAAUAAAAGUAAUGCAGCCAAACAUGUAGGCCUGGACUGGUAUUCAAAAUAGGCCCUUGCUUUUCAAGUACACAGAGACCCAAACAGCCCACUAAAUCUUACAGCAACCCUCUGGUAUUUGCAAGCAGUGGCAUAACUAGACUAAGCUGGCAAACCACCCCCACGAAAGAAUUUUCGUAGGGGCACGGCACUGAAAGGGAGCACACUCUUUAACCCCUACUGGCCCCCUACUUUUCGCCUGCUCAUUCGCUAGCUGGCAUCCUUGGCUUCCUGCCAGUCACGGUACUGCAGGGGAUGGCGGAUAGAGGAAGCAGGUCCUAUUGGUCUGGGCCCCCUGUCCCCUGGGUCUCCCAGUGAUCGUGGGGCCUGCUUCCUCUGUAUUUGUGCCACUGUUUGCCAGAAUCCACAGAUUGCCAGUCCAGGCCUGCAUAGAUGGUGGGAACCAGCAGAGUGCACUGGACCCUAAAGCUAACAGUCCCGGGGUUUAAUUCUCCGGGUAAACUUUGAAUUGUAUGUCCUCUGCCCAUUUUAGUAAGCCACUAGGUUAGACAUCUGUGAUGUAUAUAUGAAGGAUGUCGAACAAUUAAAUAUUAUGGUGCCCCUAUUAUGUUGAGACUUUUUUUAGGUGCAGGGAAAAUACCUUCUCUGCUCUACAGUUGUUAUAUUAAAAUGAUGGUGCUAUCCAAAGAACUCUAUGGACCCCUUGAGCAAACUAGGGGCUGUAAUAAUGCAUUCAGCCUGUGGUCCUCCAGUUGGACAGCCCUCUGUUAGAUACAUAAGCAUGAUUAGCAUUAAGUGCAUACUCUAAUAGCAAGAAAUAACAAUACUGCGAGAGUGAACUGUUUUUGUGCUGGCGAGCUCCCAAACUGGCAUAAACCCAGGAUAUUGAUCUUCCUUCUACUUAGUUGUUAUUGCAAAUACAAUGCUCUUUUUUAUACAAACAAAGGCACUGAGCUCAGUUAUAUAAAAUUAAAAUUCCAAUAUCAUACUUCUUUAUCCAUUACAAACUAGUUGAAAGCAAAAGGAAAAUUCAGUUCUCACAAGUCACCUGUUUCCUAAAGUUCUAUAAAGCACCAUUAUAGUCAGCAGGCAACCCCCUUUGUUUUUUGUCACCUAAAGUGCCAGACCUGAUCCACGCUCACUCCAAGGGUCGUAUGUUGCCUACCCUCCUAAACUGCAGAAAAGAAAUGUGCUGUGUAUUCCAUAAGCUGUUGUUUCACAAGGAAAUCAAA